UGAGUGAUCUUAUUUCUUGUUGCAUGGGGUAAUAUCCAAGAGGACAGUGGAGAAGAGAUGAUUUAACUUAUCACUACGGUAGCUGAAGUAUAAUGAUGGUUUGCAAGAACACAAGACGACACGAAGGUGACUGCUGGGAGGUUAUUGCAGUAUUCUAGUGACAGACGAUGCAUUUGGUGCUGACUGUAGAAAUGAAUUUGAACCACUUUAUCCUUCCCUACCUCUUCAUCAAUGUUGAAGAAUGCCACAAAGGUUAAAAAGCAUUUAAAAUAAUGUUCUCAUGAGGUGGUAGAGUGGAACCAUGCUGGAGUAUGUUGAAGAGUGAAUAGAAAAAGGAAAGUUAGCAGACAACUCUUUCCAGGAGGUCCUUGGUCUCUGAAGAGAAGAAGGAACCCAUGGACCAUGCGAGUAAGUGAAAUGAUAGAUUUUAUUGAUGGAUAAGUGAAAGAAGGGAACAGAAACUCCAGCAGCAGAGGGUGACCAAUGUGGGCAAUCCUUUUGAGCUUCUGUAUAAGGGUUUAUAUGCUGCUGUUUCUAUCGUGUGGGCUGGAGGUUUGGGGAGAGAGAAUAAAU